CCUACGGGUGGCAGCAGUGAGGAAUAUUGGUCAAUGGACGAGAGUCUGAACCAGCCAAGUAGCGUGAAGGAUGACUGCCCUACGGGUUGUAAACUUCUUUUAUAUGGGAAUAAAACGUUCCACGUGUGUGAUUUUGUAUGUACCAUAUGAAUAAGGAUCGGCUAACUCCGUGCCAGCAGCCGCGGUAAUACGGAGGAUCCGAGCGUUAUCCGGAUUUAUUGGGUGUAAAGGGAGCGUAGGUGGAUUGUUAAGUCAGUUGUGAAAGUUUGCGGCUCAACCGUAAAAUUGCAGUUGAAACUGGCAGUCUUGAGUACAGUAGAGGUGGGCGGAAUUCGUGGUGUAGCGGUGAAAUGCUUAGAUAUCACGAAGAACUCCGAUUGCGAAGGCAGUUCACUGGACUGCAACUGACACUGAGGCUCGAAAGUGUGGGUAUCAAACAGGAUUAGAUACCCGUGUAGUC
rnacentral:rRNA from 1 species